AGGAGCUGCGUCGCUGCACAAAAUCAAAACAGCGGUUUAAAAAAGAUCCCAUGUGAUCGCAAUUUCCUCCAGAGACCCAAACACCGACAAUGAGAUGCCAUAGUAAUCGUAGCACCAGAAGAUACCAGUACACGUCACGUGUUGUGCGUAAUCACCAAUGCCACAUAGUAAGUAGGGACCAUGGCCAUUGUUAAAAGCUGCAUAUUCUGAAAUGUUUUGUUAAACAUCAGCUUAUGCAUAAGACUAGGACAAUACAAUGCCCGUUUGUAAUUAUUAUAUCUUUUGGUUGUGUUGGAAUUUCAUUCAAAUACCAAUACCGUCUAAAUUUAAAGGGACACUGUUAUCACUAUAACCAUUUCAUCUUUUUGAAUUGGUUAUAGUACCUGUAGUGCCCUCACACUGUCCCUCCAUUUAGUGUUGCACCAUGUUCGUGCAGUAUGCCACAAAAUAAGAAUCCCUGGCCACCCACAGUCCAGCCCCUUCUGCAUGUGUAGCUAAGGCAGAGAUUACACACUUCCUUGUUGUCAUACCCAUUCAUACCAUCAGUUGGAGUUCUGACAGACUAAAAGCAGUCAGCUGACAUUCUCAGCCAAUCACAGCUGCCCAUUAAUGCUUAGGCUAAUACUUCCUUAUUAGCCAAAGAAGCACAGAGGGGAUGGAUUGCUGGGGACUCUUGUUUAGCAUUAAAACAUUAAAAACUGUUUAACGCUGAAAGAAAUGAUGGUACCAGGGGACUCCAGACACUAUAAUGAGAUGAAGCAGAUACAGUGCCUACAGUGUCCCUUAAGUUACAUUUUUAACCCUUUAAGGAUCAAACUUCUGGACUAAAAGGGAAUCAUGACACGUCACACAUGUCAUGUGUCCUUAAGGGGUUAAAUCUAUGUUUUGCUUACAAACAUUCUAUCUUUAUGAAAAAGUCACCAGUGAUAGCUGUUCACAAGGGGUCCUUCAGGCACGAAACGAGUCCAGCUCGUGUGGCACGUGUCUCUCUUUACCCCCUCUCAUGCACUGCUAUUUUUGGGUGCUAUUUAUAUGCCAAUGUUUAAAUGUUUUGAACACGUUUUAUAUAGUUAAUAAAGAGUCAUUUCAUUGAUCAACUUUAUUGUUUAUUUUUGACGGAGUGCAUUACCGUGUGAUAUUGCCUUAUUUUGUUUUCGGGGGUUAACUCUAAAGUCAACCCUCAAGGAAGCAAUUGCACCUCCUGUUAUAUUUUUUGUGCAUACGGUUUAAAAAAAAAAGAAGUUUUUUAUCCAGCGAGAAAGCAGUGGACUAUUGCACUAACUAAAAAAAACAAUGCUCUGAAAUGAAAAAACUCAAAAGCAUCUGUUUUAAUUCUGACAGUUACAUUACUCUCCUAGGUAGGAUCCAGAAAGUUGAAGAAUUUAAAGUGAAACAUAGUAUUCUGAAGGGCUUGGUAGUGUGUGGGUAGCAAGGUGUGAAUUUAUUUAGAUUAAGUGCUUUCAGGAAGUGAGACCGUUUAGGCCAGCUGUCUGAUAUAGUGGAUGGGGUAUUGGAGCAUAUUGGCAAAAUAAAUAUGGCCAGAUAACUGGAUCUGUUGCACAUUGUGUAACAGCCAACAUUACAGCUCUCUGUAAAUUUGGCAUCAGGUUUCAAAACCUCAUAAAAGGUUUAUUUAUGUUGCAAGAGAAAUCCAGUAAAAUGACACUUGUGUGGAUCCAUUUAAAGAGGAACUGUCCCCUCUGAGGAUGUUACAUUAGUUAAUGAAGUAUGUAAAACCUGC